rnacentral:lncRNA from 8 species
CUAAUCAUCAGUAAUUCGUUGCUUUCAUUCCUAUUUAACUGACCAGCUUGGAGACUCGCCCAAUGUCCUCGACCAUUUCCAAGAGUGGCAGGCAGGGGGAAGACUUAUUCUCUGUCGCUCGCGGAAGAUUCCCUUUGCAACCAUCAUCACAACCCAUUCCACUCUGUUGGGACAAUACCUCUGUGCCGGAAAUGUGGACUUCUACAACAAAUUGGACAAGAUAUGGUGAUGCCGAACAGAUUGAACAUCAAGAAGUUCUCAGCCAUGCACGAGUUCCCAGAACCUUCACUCCACUAACCAGGGUCGGAUUCAGGAAUUUAUCAGGGGACACUUCUAUGGGUAAUAAUUAAGUCCUUAUUAUGUUUUCAAGUUUGUUAUCCAAUAUACUGCUAACUACAGUACCAGUCAAAAGUUUAGACACACCUACUCAUUCAAGGGUUUUUCUUUAUUUUUUACUAUUUUCUACAUUGUAGAAUAAUAGUGAAGACAUCAAAACUAUGAAAUAACACAUAUGGAAUCAUGUAGUAACCAAAAAAGUGUUAAACAAAUCAAAAUAUAUUUUUUAUUUGAGAUUCUUUGUAACGGCUGUCGUAGAGAGGGGACCAAAGCGCAGCGUGUUGAUUGCUCAUGAUGAAUAUUUAUUUUAACUCAGAACACUAAAGAAAAAAUAACAAAGCGAAAACGCACAGUUCUGUCAGGUACAGAAAACUAAACAGAAGACAACUACCAACAAACACAGGUGGAAAAAAAACCCUACUUAAGUAUGAUCUCCAAUUAGAGACAACGAGGACCAGCUGCCUCUAAUUGGAGAUCAUCCCAAAAACAACAACAUAGAAAUAGAAAACUAGAACUUAAACAUAGAAAUACAAAACAUAGAAAAACACAAAACACCCCCUGUCACGCCCUGACCUACUCUACCAUAGAAAAUAACAUCUUACUAUGGUCAGGACGUGACAUUCUUUAAAGUAGCCACCCUUUGCCUUGAUGAUAGCUUGCACACUCUUGGCAUUCUCUCAACCAGCUUCACCUGUAAUGCUUUUCCAACAGUCUUUAAGGAGUUCCCACAUAUGCUGAGCACUUGUUGGCUGCUUUUCCUUCACUCUGCCAUCAACUCAUCCCAAACCAUCUCAAUUGGGUUGAAGUCAGGUGAUUUUGGAGGCCAGGUCAUCCGAUGCAGCACUCCAUCACUCCUUCUUGGUGAAAUAGCAUUUACACAGCCUGGAUGUGUAUUUUGGGUCAUUGUCGUGUUGACGUAUUGCUGCAGAAUGCUGCGGUAGCCAUGCUGGUUAAGUGUGCCUUGAAUUCUAAAUAAAUCACUGACAGUGUCACCAGCAAAGCAACCCCACACCAUCACACCUCCUCCUCCAUGCUUCAUUGUGGGAACCACACAUGCGGAGAUCAUCCGUUAACCUACUCUGCAUCUCACAAAGACGAGGCGGUUGGAACCAAAACUCUCAAGUUUGGACUCAUCAGACCAAAGGACAGAUUUACACCGGUCUGAUGUCCAUUGUUCGUGUUUCU